UAGCUAGUUGGUGAGGUAAAGGCUUACCAAGGCGACGAUCUGUAGCGGGUCUGAGAGGAUGAUCCGCCACACUGGAACUGAGACACGGUCCAGACUCCUACGGGAGGCAGCAGUGGGGAAUUUUGGACAAUGGGGGCAACCCUGAUCCAGCCAUGCCGCGUGAGUGAAGAAGGCCUUCGGGUUGUAAAGCUCUUUCGGCCGGGAAGAAAUCGCAUGGGCCAAUACCCUGUGUGGAUGACGGUACCGGAAUAAGAAGCACCGGCUAACUACGUGCCAGCAGCCGCGGUAAUACGUAGGGUGCGAGCGUUAAUCGGAAUUACUGGGCGUAAAGCGUGCGCAGGCGGUUUUGUAAGACAGGCGUGAAAUCCCCGGGCUUAACCUGGGAACUGCGUUUGUGACUGCAAGGCUAGAGUACGGCAGAGGGGGGUGGAAUUCCACGUGUAGCAGUGAAAUGCGUAGAGAUGUGGAGGAACACCAAUGGCGAAGGCAGCCCCCUGGGUCGAUACUGACGCUCAUGCACGAAAGCGUGGGUAGCAAACAGGAUUAGAUACCCUGGUAGUCCACGCCCUAAACUAUGUCAACUAGGUGUUGGGUGGGUAAAACCAUUUAGUACCGUAGCUAACGCGUGAAGUUGACCGCCUGGGGAGUACGGCCGCAAGGUUAAAACUCAAAGGAAUUGACGGGGACCCGCACAAGCGGUGGAUGAUGUGGAUUAAUUCGAUGCAACGCGAAAAACCUUACCUACCCUUGACAUGCCAGGAACUUGCCAGAGAUGGCUUGGUGCCCGAAAGGGAGCCUGGACACAGGUGCUGCAUGGCUGUCGUCAGCUCGUGUCGUGAGAUGUUGGGUUAAGUCCCGCAACGAGCGCAACCCUUGUCGUUAAUUGCCAUCAUUUGGUUGGGCACUUUAACGAGACUGCCGGUGACAAACCGGAGGAAGGUGGGGAUGACGUCAAGUCCUCAUGGCCCUUAUGGGUAGGGCUUCACACGUCAUACAAUGGUCGGUACAAAGGGUUGCCAAGCCGCGAGGCGGAGCCAAUCCCAGAAAGCCGAUCGUAGUCCGGAUUGCAGGCUGCAACUUGCCUGCAUGAAGUCGGAAUCGCUAGUAAUCGUGGAUCAGCAUGUCACGGUGAAUACGUUCCCGGGUCUUGUACACACCGCCCGUCACACCAUGGGAGCGGGUUCCGCCAGAAGUAGGUAGCCUAACCGCAAGGAGGGCGCUUACCACGGCGGGGUUCGUGACUGGGGUGAAGUCGUAACAAGGUAGCCGUAGGGGAACCUGCGGCUG
rnacentral:rRNA from 1 species